UACAGAGGGGGCAAGCGUUGUUCGGAAUUACUGGGCGUAAAGGGCGCGUAGGCGGCUUUUCAAGUCGGGCGUGAAAUCUCCGGGCUUAACCCGGAAGGGUCGUUCGAUACUGUUGAGCUAGAGUGUGGAAGAGGCAACUAGAAUUCCGUGUGUAGCGGUGAAAUGCGUAGAUAUACGGAGGAAUACCUGAGGCGAAGGCGGGUUGCUGGGCCAACACUGACGCUGAGGCGCGAAAGCCAGGGGAGCAAACGGG
rnacentral:rRNA from 1 species